ensembl:snRNA U6 U6 spliceosomal RNA
AUGCUCACUUCCACCGCACAUAAACUAAAAUUGAAGAAAUGAAUAGAUGAUUAGCAUCGCCCUUAUGUAAGGAGGACACAUAAAUUCAUAAAAUAUGCUAUAUUUCU